rnacentral:rRNA from 1 species
UACGUAGGGGGCAAGCGUUGUCCGGAUUUAUUGGGCGUAAAGAGCGUGUAGGCGGCUAGGUAGGUCGGUGGUGAAAACUCGAGGCUCAACCUCGAGACGCCGGUGGAAACCAUCUAGCUAGAGUCCGGAAGAGGAGAGUGGAAUUCCUGGUGUAGCGGUGAAAUGCGCAGAUAUCAGGAAGAACACCCGUGGCGAAGGCGGCUCUCUGGGACGUGACUGACGCUGAGACGCGAAAGCGUGGGGAGCGAACAGG